UACGAAGGGGGCUAGCGUUGCUCGGAAUCACUGGGCGUAAAGGGUGCGUAGGCGGGUCUUUAAGUCAGGGGUGAAAGCCCACGGCCCAACCGUGGAAGUGCCUUUGAUACUGCCUGUCUCGAGGGAGGUAGGGGCGUGCGGAACUUCCGGUGGAGCGGUGAAAUGCGUAGAUAUCGAGAGGAACACCUGCGGCGAAGGCGGGUAGCUGGGCCGACACUGACGCUGAGGCGCGAAAGCCAGGGGAGCGAACGGG
rnacentral:rRNA from 1 species